AUCACUUCUCAGGCUUUUGGCUAAGAACAAGUGUAGUAUCUGUUCUUAUCAGUAUAAAUAAAUGAAGAAUCUGUGCUCAUGUUCAUGGACUGAAACGCUC
rnacentral:snRNA from 1 species